GAAUGAGACAAACUGUUGGUAGAGAUACUCUGCGUGUGCGUCUGACACUAGAAGGGGCGGGGUAUUGUGGCCAAUUCAGUGAUCUAUGAAAUAACCAUGAUAUUUGUGUUCACUGAUAGCUCACCCAUACAUUAUUUAAAUAUUGAUUAAAAUCAAAUGAUGGAUAUGUUAAUUAGAUUGAUUUACUCAUUCCACAUUGUACACAUAAAAAAAUUUAAUGACUCCCAGUGAAUUCUUUUUGCCGUUGCUAUAUGUGGUGGGUUUGAAUUAUUCCCUGUUGAACACAAUUGUUUAAGGAAUCAGAGUGUCAACUUUUCCAUCUUUUGUCUGUCCCCAUCUGUCCAUGUGAUAUCAAAAGUUACCAGUUCUCCCAAGAGAAAAGGAACCCUGAAGCUCAGAGAAGUUAAAUGACAUCCCCGAGGUCCCAGAACUAAGUGACAAUGACCAUGGAAAAGCAGAGUCAUUUUACCCCAUGGCUCCCAGGCAAGCUGAAUAUCAAAAUCCACAUCAAAGAAUAAUGAUUGUUGAAUGAUGGCGGCAACAUUCAGCUUAUUUCUUCCUUGAGUAUUGCAUUCUUCAUCACAUCAAAGAGAGAGAAGGAAAUGAAGGAUGGGCAAAGAGGUGGCAGGAGUGAGAAAAAGGCAGGAAAGUAAAGCACUGAGUUGCUGAACCUGACUCUGGAAGAUACAAUCAUUUCAGCCAUCUUCCUAAUCAAUACUGUGAGCUGGGACCAAGACGAUUGUACGGAACAUGAAACACAGCCUAGGAAAAGCUGAUGAGACCUAGACACCAUAAUAUAUUUGGUUCAACUCACUUAUUGACUCUGUGUCACAUUUUGGUCAGUUUCAGUAAAAAUAUAGCACUGAGGAAUUGUUUUGUUUUGUUUUUUUCCUUCUUUAUAUCCCCAUGUCUUCUUAGUGAACAGACCUGUCUAGCACUUGUUUCCUUUUGCAAUGUUUGUACAAGGCUUUCUAACCUAGCACCCUAUAGGUAACUUCUUUGUUCUUUUGUUUAUCCUGCAUUUCAUUUCUGGAAAGUUAUGUGAUAGGCCAGAGUAAAACACAAACCUUCCCCCUGAAGAGUUAACUAGGGCUGUAUAUGCACUUACAGACCAACGUGUAAUUCCUUGAUGCUCAGUGCUGAGAAGAGAUUAGGUAAACCUGCAGGAAAAUGAGGUAAGUGCAAAUGAUAAAAUAGGAUUACAUUCCCAGGUAACUUUCCAGGAGGGGAGAAGUUCUCAGUUUGACAGAGGGUGAGAUACCAAGUCUGCAGUGUAUAAAUACUUUUUGUUAAAGGUAGUGUGUGUCCCUAUAGAAAAGGUCACUUUGAGGAGCAUAACUGUGACUGGGGGUGGAGGCAGGCAUCUGUAUGUAGAAGUACAGCACAAGUAGAGGGAGAAAGUGGAUGAGAGAGAGCAGAACCCUCCUAGACCUGAUGCUGACAGAGGUGACUGGUAGGUGCCUCUUGCAAAGAGCCCACAAGAACACAAAUUCACCCCAAAGUUGAUCUUAUCUCUUUUGCUUCCUGGACAGACAGUGCUAACAUGAUUCAUAACUUGGCUUAGAAAUAGCUAUUCAUCUGAUGGUGUCAUGGGCAACAUUGCUUGAUGCCUCCUGCCUGACACUCUUUGUGUGAAAAAUAAGCAAUUGCAUUUCCUUUCUGCAGUUUCUCCCGCUUCUUCUUGGCCCAUGAUAUUUCCCAAAAUAACCUCACUGAUGCAUUGGAAAGAUUUUUUGGAGACAAAUAUGUCUUUAAUGUCCUCUGACUGCCAGAUCUAAAGAUAUGAAUGCUGUUAGGGUCUAUGUCUGGGUGAAGUCACCUAUUUUUCUUACGUCUGAUUCCUGCCCAAUUUCUUUAAUAAAAAAAAUCACAAGCAGUAGACUGGAAUGAAAGGGCAGUGCUAAUACGCAUUGCCAUUGUUAGAGUCUAUCCCAGUGCCUGGUGUGAAGUGAUGACUCAGUAACUGUUUUGCAUGAUAAAUGAAUGAAUUCACUGAUACCUAGUUCUAUGCAUAAAACCUAUUCCUGCUUUCAAGGCACUCAAAGUCUAUUGCAAGGAACAGACAAAUGAGUAGAUGAAAUCAAUACUGUAUAGUAAGUGCUAUGAACAUAUUGUUAGCAAUAUGUGAGGAAGGUAGCAGGAGCUUAUAAAAAUGACAUUUAACUGGACCAGGAGGACGUUGUAUUAGUUUUCUAUGGCUGCUAUAACAAUUUACCACAAACUUAGUGGCUUAAAAGAACACAAAUUUAUUAGCUUAUGGUCCUGUAGGUCAGAGAUCUGACACAGGUCUCAUGGGGCUAAAAUCAGGUGUCAUCAGGGAUGCAUUCUUUUCUGGAGGCUCUAAGGGAAAACUAUUUCCUUUUCUUUUCCAGUUAUUGGAAGUUGCUCACGUUUUUUUUUUGGCUCAUGACUCCCUUCCUCCAUCUUCAAGGCCAACUACCUUGCAUCUCUCUGACACUUCUCUCUUAGUCAAGUCUCCCUCUGGCCACGGACAGGAAAGGUUCUUUCCACCUUUAAGGAUUAAUUUAAUUAGACUAGGACCAGCAUAAUAAUACAGGAUAAUUUUCCAAUCUCACAGUCAUUAACUCAAUCACAUCUGCAACAUUCCUCUUACACAAUAGAGACAUAUAUUCUCAGGUUCUAAGGAUUAGGCCGUGAAUAUCUGAGGUCCUACUAUUCUGCCUAUCAAAGUGGGGAAAGAGGAAAUGAAGAAAAAUCUCCUAAAGGGGAGUGACAAUCGAUUUGAGUGUUAAAGGCUAAGCUGAAAUUCUCAAGGUAAAUAGGGGAAGAGGAAAGAUGUGGGGAAGGGAUUGUUGGCCAGAUGGGAACCUCAGAUUAGAUGGGGGUAAAAUAUAUUGAGGCAAUACAUAGAUUAAAGGCAUACUGAGAGCUAGAAUUGAUUGAUAUUUUCUUGAUAUUUCAAAAAGGUAUAUUGUUAUUUUCUGUUACUUUAAUAAACACCUAAGUAGCUGAGAGUUUUGGUAUUAACUUGUUAAUUCUUCUUUAAUUAGCAGCCCAAUGAGGGAGGCAGGUGAUAUUAUUAAUGAAGAUAGAGUUUGUGGUUUGUUUGGUUUUUACUUUCAAACUAGUGGUCUCUAGCCAGGGCAAUGAUGAAGGUAUGAUCACAAAAGGAUGAAAAAAUAAAAUGAAAGGGCAAUUGGAACUGUAAUGAGAGACAAUAUAUCUUUUCAGUAAAUUGUGGGAAGAAGACAAAUUAAUUAAAAUAAUGAUAGGCUGUGAUCUUGAGCUAUAGUGGCUCAACAUCUCAUAUUAUCUUAAGUGAAAAUUUUAUGUUUCCUCUAGAAAUUUUCUACUUUGAAAUGUUGAGGGCAAAUGCAGAAGUACAAAUAAAUAAUAUAUUUGAAUGUCCAUUUUGUAAUAUAUCUUCUUAUCAUAAAACACAAAAUGAAACAGACUUUGUUCUGUGAAAGCAAUCUCAG